rnacentral:rRNA from 1 species
AAGAUUAAGCCAUGCAUGUCUAAGUAUAAACGACUUUGUACUGUGAAACUGCGAAUGGCUCAUUAAAUCAGUUAUAGUUUAUUUGAUGGUACUUUGCUACAUGGAUAACUGUGGUAAUUCUAGAGCUAAUACAUGCGUCAAAGCCGCGACUUUUGGGAAGCGGUGUAUUUAUUAGAUAAAAACCAACGCGGUCCGCCGCUCCUUUGGUGAUUCAUAAUAACUUGUCGAAUCGCAC